GAAUGACCUUGACUACUGUCAGACAAGGAGAGCGUCAGCUUCGCCGUGUGGAGAGAGCUUCCCCAGUUUUCAGCAGGUGUCCUUGCUGCAGGGAUGACCAGGAACCAAAGGGGGUUACUGAACCAGAGGUGUGUCGAGACGUGUCCCCACCCUGAGUCUCAACCCACUAUUCUCAACAAUUCAGAUACCUCAACUUCUAUUCAUCCCUCCUUACUUUGACCCCUACACAUACCUCCUUUCCUCGCCCCUACUCGUCCCUCCUUUCCUUGGGGAGGGACUCAUCCAGCCAAAACCCUGACUCUUUAUCUUAGUAAAAUAAAAUUCUUAAAACUG